GUGCCUGCACAUGAUGAAAACUAUGUUGGUAGGGACAUCUGAGAGGGUGAUGAAUACCAACGUUAUCUGAGCUGGGCAU
rnacentral:snoRNA from 1 species